rnacentral:tmRNA from 1 species
GGGGCUGACAGGUUUUGACUGCAUUUGAGUCGACUGACGAGCACGCCGAGCACUGAAAAUACGGCUCGAUAAUCUCGAUUUUCAAAGUUUAAAAGGCGUAAAUGCUUUUGCUAUGGCAGCUUAAUUGCUGUAAUGGCGUUGACAACUGAACAAGGUUCAGAAGUUGACCGUCCUGCCUAAACUAAUUCCGGCGAUUUAGGGUCAGGGCGUAAAGAGUACGGAAUAGUCUGGCGAAAGUUCUGGUCGACAGAUGAAAUAAAAGAACUAAGUGUCAUCAAAGGUCGUCCAACCAUAGUGACUACCGACAACCGAAAAGGACUAAGCGUGUAGUGCGUUUUUUGUUAAAUUGUAGGACGGCAAUUCGAAUUUGCCCAGCUCCACCA